UACGUAGGGUGCAAGCGUUGUCCGGAAUUAUUGGGCGUAAAGAGCUCGUAGGCGGUUUGUUGCGUCGGCUGUGAAAUCCCGAGGCUCAACCUCGGGUCUGCAGUCGAUACGAGCAAACUAGAGUGUUGCAGGGGAGACUGGAAUUCCUGGUGUAGCGGUGAAAUGCGCAGAUAUCAGGAGGAACACCGGUGGCGAAGGCGGGUCUCUGGGGCAACAACUGACGCUGGAGGAGCGGAAAAGCGUGGGGGAGCGAACAGG
rnacentral:rRNA from 1 species